rnacentral:rRNA from 1 species
UACGUAGGGGGCAAGCGUUGUCCGGAAUCAUUGGGCGUAAAGAGCGUGUAGGCGGUCCGUUAAGUCGGCUGUGAAAGUCCAAGGCUCAACCUUGGGAUGCCGGUCGAUACUGCCGGACUAGAGUUCGGAAGAGGCGAGUGGAAUUCCCGGUGUAGCGGUGAAAUGCGCAGAUAUCGGGAGGAACACCUAUGGCGAAGGCAGCUCGCUGGGACGGUACUGACGCUGAGGCGCGAAAGCGUGGGGAGCGAACAGG